UGAGCUUUAGUUCAACUGUUGUACGCCAUCAGAACCUAAACAUGAGUUAGUUUUUAUUUAUUUGUAAACAAUGUAAACAAACACUGUAGCUAUAUGCCAAAAACAUAGUUCAAACUAUAAUUUUGAUAUCAGGGAUGGUCAGUCCUUGCAUAAAUAGCUCUUUCUACGAAUUUGAUUGUGGUAACAUUUCUCCCGGCCAAUCUCUCAGCAUUUUAUCAAAACAAAGAGACGAUUCCCAGAUUUCUACAUAACACAAGGACAGCAUGAUAAUGCACGGCCCCAUGUCGCAUGCACGGCCCCAUGUAGCAAAGAUCUGUACACAAUUCCUCGAAGCUGAAAAUGUCCCAGUUCUUCCAUGGCCUGGAUACUCACCAGAUAUGUCACCCAUUAAGCAUGUUUGGGAUGCUCUGGAUCGAUGUGUACGACAGCGUGUUCCAGUUCCCGGCAAUAACCAGCAACUUCGCAUAGCCAUUGAAGAGGAGUCGGAUAACAUUCCACAGGCCACAAUCAACAGCCUGAUCAACUCUGUUCAAAGGAGAUGUGUCACACUGCAUGAGGCAAAUGGUGAUCACACCAGAUACUGUCUGGUUUUCUGAUCCACUGACUUUUUUUCUAAGGUAACUUUGACCAACAGAUUCAUAUCGCUAUUCCCAGUCAUGUGAAAUCCAUAGAUUAGGGCUAAAUUAAUUUAAUUCAAUUGACUGAUUUCCUUACGUGAACUGUAACUCAGUUAAAUCGUUUUGGUUCAGUAUAGAUUUAUUCGCCACACUGGGUUUUGCAGCUGCAAAAACACACAUAAAAUUCACACAAGCAUAUAUUUAUACCUUCCAAUGUGGUGGAGUCACCUUGUAUUUCUAGGAUAAACAAUCAGUCUCUGUUGGUAGGCAAGAACUGAGUCUGUUCCUCCUAUUGGUGUUAUCGUGGGCCAACCUGAGUCCAGAACCUUCAUGGGCAGGGAUGUGUGUGUAUGAGAUAAGACCUCAGUUUGAGUAUUGUUGGGAUGGACACCUCUAGCCCCCCUCUCAGAGGUUUCUUCUCUCUUCAACUUUGUCCUCACCUCCAUGUCUUUCUUUGCCCUAGUUCCACAGAAAAUCGCCUGACCUUACCAGGAACUGAGAGUCGACUUUGGCUCUUUAUCUACUUCCUUUAGAAACAUGAAUAUAAAAGGAGUUCACUCACUGCUUUAGAAUGUAGUGAAAUACUGGUAAAUUCAAGAGGGUGCUAAUAAAUGAAUGUCUAAACGUA